rnacentral:lncRNA from 1 species
GAUUUGGUUAAGGUUUGUUUAGGUUUUGUUUAUGGUUUGGAUAGGAUUUGGUUAGGAUUUGACUAGAAUUUGGUUAAGGUUUGUUUAGGAUUUGACUAGAAUUUUGUUAAGAUUUAUUUAGAAUUUGAUUAGAAUUUGAUUAAGAUUUGUUUAGAAUUUGAUUAGGAUUUGUUUAGGAUUUAUUUAGGAUUUGUUUAGGAUUUGAUUAGGAUUUAUUUAGGAUUUAUUUAGGAUUUGACUAGGAUUUAUUCACGAUUUGAUUAGGAUUUGUUUAGAAUUUGGUUAGGAUUUGUUUAGGAUUUGAUUAGGAUUUGUUUAGAAUUUGAUUAGGAUUUGCUUAGGAUUUGUUUAGGAUUUAGUUAGGAUUUAUUUAGGAUUUGACUAGGAUUUAUUUAGGAUUUGUUUAGAGUUUUUUUAGGAUUUGGUUAAGGUUUGUUUAGGAUUUGGUUAGGAUUUGUUUAGGAUUUGACUAGGAUUUAUUUAAGAUUUGAUUAAGAUUUAUUUAGGAUUCGAUUAGGAUUUGUUUAGAAUUUAUUUAAGAUUUGAUUAAGAUUUUUUAAGGAUUUGGUUAGAGUUAAUUUAGGAUUUGUUUAGAAUUUGUUUAAGAUUUGACUAAGGUUUAGUUAAGGUUUAUUUAGGAUUUGAUUAGGAUUUAUUUAAGAUUUAGUUAGGGUUUAACUAGGAUUUGAUUAAAUUUUGAUUAAAUUUUGACUCGGAUUUAAUUAAGAUUUUUAUUUUAAUAUUUUAUUAAGGUUU